rnacentral:lncRNA from 1 species
UUUUUUUUUUUUAAUUUUCAAACUGGUUGCGUUUACCAAAUGUAGAUAAGUAUUGCAACAGUUUAAUUGCAUUAUGGUGCAAGGUUUUAAAUCCCGUGGGAUGGGGCUGCCUUGGUUUUUCCAUGGAACAGGACGCAUCACCGUCCCGCCCCGUUCCGACACUUGGGACAGAGGAUGUCCCAAGGCGUUCCGAUCGGAAUGCUAGGACACUAGCAGGAU